CUGACCGCAAGGUCAUGGCUCAUCCACAGGUGCUGCAUGGUUGUCGUCAGCUCGUGUCGUGAGAUGUAAGGUUAAGUCCUUGAACGAGCGCAACCCCUUUCGUCAGUUGCAAACCAGCAAUGGCGCACCCUGACGAUACUGCCAGCUAAAGUUGGAGGAAGGAGGGGAUGACGUCAAAUCCUCAUGGCCUUUAUGUCCAGGGCUACACACAUGCGACAAUGGUCGGUACAACGAGUCGCAACACCGCGAGGUGAAGCCAAUCCCUAAAAACCGACCUCAGUUCAGAUUGCAGACUGCAAUUCGUCUACAUGAAGAUGGAGUUGCUAGUAACCGCGGGUCAGCUACACCGCGGUGAAUAUGUUCCCGGGCCUU
rnacentral:rRNA from 1 species